UUGUUUUGGCACUUCUACUUUUUUUGUAAUCCUCCCUUUGGCUAUUUCUUAUUUUUUUGUCAUUAUAAAUGGUUUUUUUUGUAGCUCACAAAGGAAAAAAUCAGUAGUUGCAUGAUUAGGCCUAGGCUUCAUUGGUUAAAGUGUGACCUUGCACAAUUACAUCAUCAUCACCAUCAUCAUUAUCAUUACCAUCAAAGUCUUAUCUCAAUUAUUUGGGAUCUGCUACACAGAUAUUUGUAAAAAGUUACGGCUAAAAUGGGAAAUACCCCUCCCAUCAAUUUACAUUGACAUGGCUGGUGAAGUGCUAAAAUUAUCACUCACAACAAUUGAAUUUGGAAUUUAUCAGACUAUUGCAUUUAUUUUUUCAGUAUCUUCAUUCACUUUUCAUAAUCACACUUGUAAACGGUAGGAUUGGCAAUUGGUCGGGCCUAUUAGCCUAAAUAAGCCCCAGGCCCGGCUCUGGCGACACACAAUAUAGAAAAGCCUGGGGGCUAUAGCAAACUUACAAAUGGGUCAGGGCAGGCCAAACCAGGAUCUUUGCAAUUCAUAAAUGGGAAGCCAUUUUUGGAAACUAUAUCAUCAUUUUGUCCAUCUCUAUUCACAUAAACUGCAUUGUGCUCUAACAAUAUCUCAAAUUCAUCGUGGUUUCAUGGUUUGCUGUUAUAUUUUAGUGGAUGUCUUCACAAAUAAAAACCAAACAACUCCAAAUUACAAAGUCGAUUUCGAUUACACUAAAGGGAGCGGGAGAGGUCCAGAAGAUUGGGGUAAGCUUCAUCUUGAGUGGGCUGCAUGUGGUCAGGGUCGAAUACAAUCCCCCAUAGACUUGGGUGCUCAAAGCCCAUUCAUACCAGAAAGAUCAGUGCCUCUUAAUUCAGACUACAUACAAGCCCAGGCUUUUUUAGCCAACAGAGGUUUCCAAAUCUCGCUGAGAUGGGAGGGUCUGGCAGCAUCGAGUGCGGGAGGGAUUACGAUUGACAACGUAGCGUAUGCACUUAAAGGGUGUCAUUGGCACUCACCUUCGGAGCAUACCUUCCACGGCUACAGAUACCCACUAGAGCUCCACAUGGUUCACCAAAGUUCCAAUGGGAAAUUUGCAGUGGUUUCAGUAACAUAUAAGAUGGGAAGGCCAGAUGCUUUACUUCAUAAGUUAAUGGAGGAUAUGAGGUCCUUGGGCUCUGAAGACAAGAGAUUAGGGUUCAUAAAUCCAAGAGAUGUCAUGCAUAACUAUCAUAAUGUAGCAUAUUACAGGUAUGAGGGCUCUCUAACAACUCCCCCUUGCACUGAGGGUGUCAUCUGGACUAUAAUAAAAAAGGUGAAGACUGUGUCAUGGCAGCAAUUGAUAACAUUGAGAGGAGCGGUUGACUGUGGCUACCAAUCAAAUGCCAGACCCACACAACCCACAAAUGGAAGACCGGUGUGGUUUUUUACCUGAGGUUUGCUUAAUAAGGUCUCUAUAUCAGCCUCCAGCUGCCAAGCAAUCUCCAAUAUAACGCAUCCAAGAGAUGACUUUCAUGACAAAUAAGAAGAGGAACAUCCAGUCCCGGUGGCAUCCAAAGAGCUGACAGAUGGCUGAACGAAGAAGUUAUUAGAGUCAUUAUCACUUUCAUCACUCAUAACGUAAAACUUACAUUUGCCUUCAUUGCAUGUUCUUCUUGGACCCACCCUGGCAACUGCCCUUGCAGACAAUCGAAUGGGAUUCAGUCCCCUUUUGUUUGCCUUUGCUAGCACGAGCUUCUUCCCCUUUUCCUUUGACCACCAGCAACAGCACUUCUCUCUAACUACUCGGUUUUUUUUGCUUUUUUUUUUCUUUUUUUAUUUGAUUCUUUCCUUUAUUGCUUCAAAAAUUACGACUAAAGGAACCUCAAAAUUCCGCCUCCAUAUCAUCGUGCAUCUCUUCAUUUCUUCCUGAAACGCUUCCCCCCCUUGAUCCUCAGCAACUUCAUUAGGAAUAGCGACUGCAUAAGCUUCUACGCACCCAUCAUCAAGAGGUAGAUCAUCGCCUACCACCUCCUAUUGCUCAAUCAAAGGUGGUUGUGCUUCAUCAUUCAAAGGGGGAAGAACAUUAAUUGAUGGAACAACCAAAGCAUCCUCCAAGGAGCCCUCUGAGAAGUUGAGGUCAUGCUCUUGCUCCCCGCUACCAAUGUCUUCGAUUUUUUCCAAAUCUAUUUGUUCCUCCUGGUCUAGAUCAAUCAACAAACCCAUUACAAUGUUCACAUUUUCACCACGGAGAAUCCUCGAUUUGUUCUUCUUUUAGCAACUGACUUUAACAACAACAACCUUGGUGGAAACAUCUUCAUAAUAGUAGCAAGAAGAUCAAAUCUCCUUCAAGAAAGGAAGUUGCAAGGUCUUUGAAGAAACGGUUUGUAUCAUAUUUCCUACUCUUUAGGUUUCUAUAAAGAGAAGGACUUUCCUUUACGGGCUUUUCCAUUCUAGAAGUCGGCAAUACAAUAAUGGUUGUACUUUCCCCAUACCCCUGUUUUUUCUCAGGCACCACAAUGAGAUAAUUGCAAAUCUCUACUUGUCCCUAACAAAGGAUCAAAAUCCAAGGUUGUCCUA